UACGGGGGGCAAGGCGUUGUUCGGAAUUACUGGGCGUAAAGGGCUCGUAGGCGGCCAACUAAGUCAGACGUGAAAUCCUCGGCGUUAACCCGGGGAACUGCGUCUGAAUACUGGAUGGCUUGAGAUUGGGAGAGGGAUGCGGAAUUCCAGGUGUAGCGGUAGAAAUGCGUAGAUUAGUCAGGAGGAACACCGGUGGUGUAGACGGCUCACUGGACCGUAACUGACGCUGAGACACGGAAAGCGUGGGUAGCAAACAGG
rnacentral:rRNA from 1 species